rnacentral:lncRNA from 1 species
CAGAAGUCAGGUCGGAUUAAGCCAUAGUACGGAAAGAACUAUGCUACCUGUGAGCCCCGUCCAAGGACGUUAAAAGAAGUCAGGCCACUAUAAGUGCCAUAGCUUGAGUAAACUAUGCAGCCUGUAGCUCCACCUGAGAAGGUGUAAAAAAUCUGGGAGGCCACAAACCAUGGAAGCUGUACGCAUGGCUUAGUGGA